GUUGACUUGUUUUAUAAUUAUUUUAGGACAUGCCAUUUAUCUUUGACAGAUAAUAGCUAACUCUAAUAUUGGUCCUCGAUGCCUUUAUUAAAGAACCUUGUUUUCUUGCUCUAUCUUAUUAUUAACUUACUGACUUUCAAGACUAUGAACUUACCUUCUUUUGUUGGUGCUUAAAUUUUCAUGUUUUGGACAACCUCCAGUUUGUUAGUCUAGCUCUUGAUAAUAGAAACACAAUUUCUUUUUCACAAAUAUUUGUCAUCUUUGUAGCAUUAAUGAUUCUUGUAGAACAUCAACCUCCAUUAGUAUUGAUUGUUGUGGCAUA
rnacentral:lncRNA from 1 species